rnacentral:rRNA from 2 species
UAAGUCCCGCAACGAGCGCAACCCUUAUUAUCAGUUGCCAGCAUUAAGUUGGGCACUCUGGUGAGACUGCCGGUGACAAACCGGAGGAAGGUGGGGAUGACGUCAAAUCAUCAUGCCCCUUAUGACCUGGGCUACACACGUGCUACAAUGGAUGGUACAACGNGUUGCGAACUCGCGAGAGUAAGCUAAUCUCUUAAAGCCAUUCUCAGUUCGGAUUGUAGGCUGCAACUCGCCUACAUGAAGUCGGAAUCGCUAGUAAUCGCGGAUCAGCAUGCCGCGGUGAAUACGUUCCCGGGCCUUGUACACACCGCCCGUCACAGCCAUGAGAGUUUGUAACACCCAAAGUCGGUUNGGGUAACCUU